UCGUCUAGAUAGCUCUCUCUUCUUCCUCGCGCCGAGUCUGCCUAGAGCCUCUUUUGCUGUGUAUCCAGACAUGGGGAAGAAGAGGAAAAAGCCAGGAAAAGGCAAAGAGAAAGCAGCGAAAUCUGAGGAAAAAAGAGCUCACAGAGAGACUAGAAGCUCUCACCUGAGGAUGACAUCGAUGCCAUUUUGAGAGAUGAGAACGGGAACUCAAGAUCUUAGGCGCUUAUCGCUGAAACAAGACAUGUUCGGCGAGGGUUCUCCGAUCCGAUGUGCCAUUUUCUUCACUGUCCUCCUCCUAAUAGCUAAUACUGAUAUAGGAAAGGAAAGCCUUGGAUGUUCCACUCAACGACCAGAUGCAAAUGUCACCUAACCUAAGGAGAGAAGUAAUAUUAUAUUAACUAGAUUCGUGAGAUGAGAUGCUAACUAACUUAAUACUUAUGCAUCCUUCCAAAGUAUCAUUUGACACUAAAUCAUAAGCAACCUAAUCAUGAAUUUUGAAUAUCAAUGUUAUUGGAUCAUUUUGAUUUGCGUCCUCAA